rnacentral:lncRNA from 1 species
UUGAGCCUUAAAACGAAUACAUGUAUUUCUUAUAAGAAUACAAUAUCAUUGGUAUGUUGACAUUGAACAUGUAAGCUAUUUUCAUAAGACAAGCGGAGUGAGUAGGUGGAAAUGUUGUUGCCACCUUUGUAUCUGUUAGAAUUGUCUCUUGUAUCUGCUGGUGUGGCUAUGUUUGUUUCUCUUUUAUUUGAUGGGUAAUAUGUAAACAAAA